CCUCCUCAGCUCCACCCUCUCUCUCUCUCUCUCAGGCAAGCGCUCCUACCUUGCCUCCGAAGUAACCACCGCCAUCGCCACCGCGGCAGCAUCUAGGUCACCGAGCCGGGCGGGCCCACACCCUCCCCUCCCCCUCGCCGGAUGAUCGCCGCCGGCGCCGCCUCGAUGGGCCGCGCCACGACCACUCCGGCACCCGGGGCCCAUUCGCGGUGGCCUCGCGCCGUCGCGCGGCUCCGCCUGGCGUUCCGCUCCCCUGCGAGCGGCGGCGGCGGCGGCGUCAGCGCGCGGUGGACAGGCUGCUUCCGGCCGGCGCCGGCGCCAGCGUCGGCGGCGGCUGUGAAGGAGGCGAAGGGGAAGCGGCCGGAGGUGGAGGAGGAGCCGGCGCGGGGCGGAGGGGAGGACGUGUGGAGCGCGCAGGCCGAGGCGGAGGUGGCGCAGGGCGGGGAGUUCCCCGAGCAUCUCGUCGUCAUGGUCAAUGGCCUCGUCGGGAGUGCGGAUGACUGGAAGUUUGCGGCGGAGCAGUUCGUGAGGCGGAUGCCGGAAAAAGUGAUCGUGCAUCGAAGCCAAUGCAACUCAGCUACCCAAACAUUUGAUGGAGUUGACCUGAUGGGUGAAAGGUUGGCAAAUGAGGUUCUAUCAGUUGUAGAACAAAGAAGAGGCGUGAAGAAGAUCUCAUUUGUGGCACACUCUCUAGGUGGCCUUGUUGCUAGAUAUGCUGUAGGGAGGCUUUAUGAACCUAAUAACAGAAAUAAACCUUCUUCCGGGAAGAGCAGAGAUGACUUGGAGGGUUUCAUUGCUGGAUUAGAAGCUAUGAAUUUUAUAACCUUUGCAUCACCACAUCUCGGUUCAAGUGGAAACAAACAGCUCCCUUUCUUAUGCGGCCUGCCUUUCCUGGAAAGAAGAGCUUCGGAAACUGCACAUUUGCUUGUUGGGAGAACUGGAAAGCAUUUAUUUCUUACAGAUAAUGAUGAUGGAAGACGGCCACUUCUCCUCCGAAUGGUUGACGACUGUGAUGAUAUAAAAUUCAGGUCAGCGCUGCGCACCUUCAAACGACGUGUAGCAUAUGCUAAUGCAAAUUUUGACCAAAAAAAGAUAUGGUUGGGUGGAGAACAUCAUCAAUCCGCCGCCAACAUGAGCUGCCAAAGCAUCGACUUCUUGUUCGUGAUGAGAAAUAUCCCCAUAUUGUCCAUGUUGAUAAGGGAGUGACAAACAACGAUGAGGCAGAAGCUCGUUCUGAUCUUUAUGACCCAGAAGAGGAGAUGAUUAGAGGCCUUACACAAGUACCAUGGGAACGUGUUGAUGUGAGCUUCCAGAAAAGUAGUCAAAGAUUGGUUGCACAUAACACAAUCCAGGUGAAGAGCUAUUGGUUAAACUCAGACGGCGAGGACGUUAUCAAUCACAUGAUGGAUAAUUUCCUCGUCUAGCCCAUGAACUCCACGUCCCUACACUGUAGCAAUAUUCAUGUGGAGAAUUUGAGAGAGUGGCAAUUCAAUUUUGCUUAGGUAUUACUUUUACUUGUAGGUUACAGUUCUCAUAGCUAAUAUGAUUCAAUUCUUUAGGUUUCACUUCAAAUGUUUCUGAUCCUCAUUCCUCCCCCUUUAACUUAGCUAUCACAUCACAUCCAAAGUGUAUCAUAAACCUGUACCCUCUACUGUAUUGAACUGGAGUACAAUGAAUGGAACUAUAAUCGAUAUUCCCCGUUGAAUUUUAUUCGAGUAUUUUACAU